rnacentral:rRNA from 1 species
UACCGUAUACGUCCGUGAGGAGAAAGAUUUAUCGCCCUUAGACGGGCCCGCGUCGGAUUAGCUAGUUGGUGGGGUAACGGCCUACCAAGGCGACGAUCCGUAGCUGAUCUUAGAGGAUGAUCAGCCACACUGGGACUGAGACACGGCCCAGACUCCUACGGGAGGCAGCAGUGGGGAAUCUUGGACAAUGGGCGCAAGCCUGAUCCAGCCAUGCCGCGUGAGUGAAGAAGGUCUUCGGAUUGUAAAGCUCUUUUGCCAGGGACGAUAAUGACGGUACCUGGAGAAUAAGCCCCGGCAAACUUCGUG